rnacentral:rRNA from 1 species
GACGAACGCUGGCGGCGUGCUUAACACAUGCAAGUCGAACGGAAAGGCCCUGCUUUUGUGGGGUGCUCGAGUGGCGAACGGGUGAGUAACACGUGAGUAACCUGCCCUUGACUUUGGGAUAACUUCAGGAAACUGGGGCUAAUACCGGAUAGGAGCUCCUGCUGCAUGGUGGGGGUUGGAAAGUUUCGGCGGUUGGGGAUGGACUGGCGGCUUAUCAGCUUGUUGGUGGGGUAGUGGCUUACCAAGGCUUUGACGGCUAGCCGGCCUGGGAGGGUGACCGGCCACAUUGGGACUGAGAUACGGCCCAGACGCCUACGGGAGGCAGCAGUGGGGAAUAUUGCACAAUGGGCGGAAGCCUGAUGCAGCAACGCCGCGUGCGGGAUGACGGCCUUCGGGUUGUAAACCGCUUUCGCCUGUAACGAAGCGUGAGUGACGGUAAUGGGUAAAGAAGCACCGGCUAACUACGUG